rnacentral:lncRNA from 1 species
UAUGGUUAAAAAAUAGAGUGCAUCAGAAAUACAAUUGACCAGGUAUGGUCCCUAAAGGUCAACACGUAUCAAACUAAAAAUGUCAUUGGUAUUGAUGAAAGUUUUAGGGAAAGACAAACGUUGUUGUUUUGCCAAUAGGUAUAUUUUACAAUCAUGUAAAGUUGCACUGCCUGAUAACUUUAGACUGGGGAUGUGAAUCAAUUUUUUAUGGAUGUGUGGCCGAAUCUUUUGUGCCAUAGUUGUAGAUUGUUUUCUUCGGUGUGGCUAAUGCAUGCUUUGUUAGAGUCCAUGUCUU